AUUGAACGCUGGCGGCAUGCCUUACACAUGCAAGUCGAACGGUAACGGGCCUUCGGGUGCCGACGAGUGGCGAACGGGUGAGUAAUGUGUCGGAACGUACCUUUCAGUGGGGGAUAACGUAGCGAAAGUUACGCUAAUACCGCAUAUUCUGUGAGCAGGAAAGCAGGGGAUCGCAAGACCUUGCGCUGAUUGAGCGGCCGAUAUCAGAUUAGCUAGUUGGUGAGGUAAAGGCUCACCAAGGCGACGAUCUGUAGCGGGUCUGAGAGGAUGAUCCGCCACACUGGAACUGAGACACGGUCCAGACUCCUACGGGAGGCAGCAGUGGGGAAUUUUGGACAAUGGGGGCAACCCUGAUCCAGCCAUGCCGCGUGAGUGAAGAAGGCCUUCGGGUUGUAAAGGUACUCUUUUCGGCCGGGAAGGAAAUACGCAUCUCCCUAAUAACGGGGUGUGGAUGACGGUACCCGAAUAAGAAGCACCGGCUAACUACGUAGCCAGCAGCCGCGGUAA
rnacentral:rRNA from 1 species